UGAGUAAUGCCUACGAAUCUGCCUGGUAGUGGGGGAUAACGCUCCGAAACNGACGCUAAUACCGCAUACGNCCUACGGGAGAAAGCAGGGGACCUUCGGGCCUUGCGCUAUCAGAUGAGCCUAGGUCGGAUUAGCUAGUUGGUGAGGUAAUGGCUCACCAAGGCGACGAUCCGUAACUGGUCUGAGAGGAUGAUCAGUCACACUGGAACUGAGACACGGUCCAGACUCCUACGGGAGGCAGCAGUGGGGAAUAUUGGACAAUGGGCGAAAACCUGAUCCAGCCAUGCCGCGUGUGUGAAGAAGGACUUCGGAUUGUAAAGCACUCUAAGUUGGGAGGAAGGGCAGCUACCUAAUACGUGAGUGUUUUGACGCUACCGACAGAAUAAGCACCGGCUAACUCUGUGCCAGCAGCCGCGGUGAUACACAGGGUGCACGCGUUAAUCUGAAUUACUUGGCGUGAAGCGCGCGCACGCGGUUGGUUAACUUGGAUGUGAAAUCACCCGGCCUCACCCUGCGAACUGGAUCCGGAACUCACUGACUAGAGUAUGGUAGAGGGCGGGGGAAUUUCCCCUGUCGCGGUGAAAGGCGUAGAGUUUAUGAUAGGAAGCAACAACAGCUAGGCGGACCACCCGGACUCAUACUUACACUUACGUGCGAAAGCGUGGCGAGGUUACAGGAAUANAUACCCUUCUAGUCCNCGCCGNAAACGAUGUAAAAUAGCC
rnacentral:rRNA from 1 species